ensembl:lncRNA
GGAGGUGAUGUUAUAAUCCCUGUUAUGAGGCUGGGUGGAGGUGAUGUUAUAAUCCCUGCUAUGAGGCUGGGUGGAGGUGAUGUUAUAAUCCCUGUUAUGAGGCUGGGUGGAGGUGAUGUUAUAAUCCCUGCUAUGAGUCUGGGUGGAGGUGAUGUUAUAAUCCCUGCUAUGAGUCUGGGUGGAGGUGACGUUAUAAUCCCUGCUAUGAGGCUGGGUGGAGGUGAUGUUAUAAUCCCUGCUAUGAGUCUGGGUGGAGGUGAUGUUAUAAUCCCUGCUAUGAGGCUGGGUGGAGGUGAUGUUAUAAUCCCUGCUAUGAGUCUGGGUGGAGGUGACGUUAUAAUCCCUGCUAUGAGUCUGGGUGGAGGUGAC